rnacentral:rRNA from 1 species
CGGCGCACGGGUGCGUAACGCGUAUGCAAUCUACCUUUCACAGAGGGAUAGCCCAGAGAAAUUUGGAUUAAUACCUCAUAGUAUAUUGAGUUGGCAUCAACACAAUAUUAAAGUCACAACGGUGAAAGAUGAGCAUGCGUCCCAUUAGCUUGUUGGUAAGGUAACGGCUUACCAAGGCAACGAUGGGUAGGGGUCCUGAGAGGGAGAUCCCCCACACUGGUACUGAGACACGGACCAGACUCCUACGGGAGGCAGCAGUGAGGAAUAUUGGACAAUGGGCGCAAGCCUGAUCCAGCCAUGCCGCGUGCAGGAUGACGGUCCUAUGGAUUGUAAACUGCUUUUAUACGAGAAGAAACAACUCUACGUGUAGAGUCUUGACGGUAUCGUAAGAAUAAGGAUCGGCUAACUCCGUGCCAGCAGCCGCGGUAAUACGGAGGAUCCAAGCGUUAUCCGGAAUCAUUGGGUUUAAAGGGUCCGUAGGCGGUUUAAUAAGUCAGUGGUGAAAGCCCAUCGCUCAACGGUGGAACGGCCAUUGAUACUGUUAAACUUGAAUUAUUAGGAAGUAACUAGAAUAUGUAGUGUAGCGGUGAAAUGCUUAGAGAUUACAUGGAAUACCAAUUGCGAAGGCAGGUUACUACUAAUUGAUUGACGCUGAUGGACGAAAGCGUGGGUAGCGAACAGGAUUAGAUACCCUGGUAGUCCACGCCGUAAACGAUGGAU